rnacentral:antisense_RNA from 1 species
AAACAGCACAAAGGGCACUCUUACGCUGCUGUAAACCAGUGCCAGGAUUUUUAAAAUGUGAGACACCUGUUACCCUGUGCCCAGAUUUCAUAUUGUUCAAACACACAUGCUCUACAAACAAUUUGUGCAGUUAACGCAAUCAUCACAAGGUCCUAAGGUGACCUACAUCCUCAGCUUACGAAGAUGACAAGAUUAAGAGAUUAAAGACAGGCAUAAGAAAUCAAAAGAGUAUUGAUUAAGGAAGUGUUUAUGUUCUUCUGCCAUGGCUUCAGCCGGUCCCUCCCUUCAAGGUCCCUGACUUCCUGCAACAGGGGGCAAAGGACUCUUUGUCUUCAAAUUUCCCUCCACCUUGCCCAUCAUCAAGAGAGUGUGAAGAGGAGGAGAAAGGCUAAGAUCUUUUCCAAUGCAAAAUUAGGAAAAAAUAUACUAUAGAUUUAUGAAAAAAUAAGAAGUGAAAGUAUUCUCUGACUGCAAGUAUGACCACCUGUCUUUCUAUAUCAGGUUGAUAAUUUCUAACAUGUUCCUUUGUAAUUGUUUCUCAAUUUUGUGCUGAAUGUUGACCAUGUGCAUUUCCAUUUCUUCAACAAAAUCAGAUUUGUCUUUAGAGCACUGUUGUUACUGUGCACAGCACUCUCCCCAUGCCUGAACUGUCAACAAUCCACUGAGUAGGACAUCUGCCCAGCUGUCUGACUAAAGCUGAGCAUCGUGGGCCGUGGCUUUCAAAUACUCCAGUGCUUUCACAGAUGAUCUGGGAAGGAAACUAGUCAUGACUCCACACCUUUAAUUUAAUAAUAUUGCCCCAAACAAAUGAGUAAAACAGAGAAUAAAGAGGGCAAAUAAGUA